AUGUAUGUACACACAUAUGUGUAUAUGUGUGUGUAUGUGUGUAUAUAUAUGUACAUAUAUAUGUGUGUGUAUGUGUAUAUAUGUAUACAUACACACACACACACAUAUAUAUAUAUCACAGAAAGUUAUGGACCAUUUUAAAAUAUCACUAUUUGUCAUUGAUUUAGUUUUACACAAUACUAUUCUCCAGUAACGUUUCUUCUUUUUCCAUUUCUUUCAUUUCUUUUCUCUCUUCUUUUACUAAAUUGGCACACUUGUUUACUUCUCAGGUUUUGCAAACAUCCUUAAUAUGUUGGUAUGGCAAAUGCAUUUCAAUUCAAAUAGCAACUGCAAGUUGAUAUGCAGAAGAACAGAAGUAAUGUGGUCUGGAAUUAAUUUGCUCAAUUGCUUACAAGCAAUAUGCUAUGUAUGAAAAGAUUACCAAAUUACAGGUAUUAAAUUCUAAAUGAUUUAACAGUUUAUUAUGAUUUAUUCUAUUUAACAACCUAGGGAGUUUGAAGCCAUUGGAAACUCCAGUGGCAAGUUCAGGUGCAGUUGGGAGUUCAGGAAUCUCAAUGGAGCUAUUAGUGUAGCAGACUUGUGGGUAAAAUAUAUGCAUCUCUCAAUAGCAAAUGUGAAAGACUCUCUAAAAUGGACCUCAGUGACUUCAUUCUCCACAAGCUGUCCUGGCCCACUCAGCAUAUCCUUUAUUGUUCCAUGAUAUUAAGGCAUGUCUGCUUUUUUUUUUUUUUUAAUAAUAAAUCCAUGACCACCUGAAGGUUUUAACUUGGUAUGCACGGCAUUAAGGCUUUCACAGCCACCAUAGGUAUUUUCUCCUCCAUCCAUUAUGUUAUUAUAAACUAUUACUUUGAUGCCAUAGGAACUUUCUUAGUUUUUCCUACACAUUCUGGGACACUGGCAGAAAUAACUUCUUCCAGAUUAUAGUUGCUUUGUGCAACAGGAAGGAGAUCAGUCAACAAUGGAUUUAUAAACUCUCAGAUAACACAGAAAGUUACAUCUCAUGUCCAAAAAUGACCUUAUUACUUGGCCCUAAUUUAGUUUUGCAUGAAUUUUUAAAGCAGGAAUCAUAAAUGGCCCAAGUGUCUUAAUUCAAAUUCUUACCUGACUGUGGAGAAGAAAUCAUUGUGAUUUUUGAACACACAUAAUUAUGGUUUAAAAACAAACUAACCUGAAUUUGUUUGAAUAUAGUUUUUCAACUUUCUCUGAUACUAAUAAACUCAUCAGCCAGUUGGAAAUUGCUUUCCAGAAAAAAUUCUCAUUGCUUAUAUGUUCAUAUAUUUGUACAUGUAUAAAAGAUUUCAAAAACUUGGAAUAAGUUUAGACCAUUCUUAAUAAGGAUAUUAAUGGAUAUUUAAAGUGCCUGUCUUUUCAGUGUUUGGAAAUUUAUUUAGUGUUUCUUCAGGGCGUAUCAAAUCAAUAAAAUGUCCAUGUCUGUGAUGACUAGGAAGAUGUUCUUCUAUUUUCUUUCUCUUGCUGCAUAACCUGUCUUAUUCAGAACUAAAUUUCAAAUGUGAACAGUUUUAGCUGAACCACUGAAUUAAAAUAAUUAUGAACU
rnacentral:lncRNA from 1 species